GGAACAGUACCCCUGCUAAUUUUCUCUUAAUAAAUAGUAUAGCCGGGCGGCUACACUGGGUUUUUUGAAAAUUUCUUUGCAGAAUAGUAUAGCCGCACGGCUAUACAAUUGAAUAUAAUAUAUUUCAAGCAUAUAGCCGGUCGGCUAUACUGUAUUUUUUUUUUUUGGGUCCUUUUUUGUUUUUCCGAAACAGUACUCUUGCUGAUUUUCUUUUAAUAAAUAGUACAGCCGCACGGCUAUACUGGGGUUUUCGAAAAUUUCUUUGAAGGAUAGUAUAGCCGCACGGCGAUACUAAUAAAAUACAUAGGGUGCUUGGAAGUUGGGCCAGACUAGGUAAUUGGAAGUUGGCCCACACAAGGCAAUUGGAAGUUGGGCCAAGUGGAAGCCAAUUGGGCUUCAAAUUCAACUUGGGCAUUGAAUAUAUAAUAUUUAAUUAUCAAAAAGAUGGCCUUAGGCCUUGGGGUACUUGGGCAUUUAUGAUUUAAAUUAAUUAAUUAGUUUCGAAUUAUUAUUAUAAUUUCUUUUUUAAAAAAAAUUUAAAAUUCGGAUUAGUUUAAUUAAUUUCACUGGGGGGCCUAUUUUGUCUUCAUUUUUAAUUUUAAUAAUAAAUAGUAUAACACAUUGCCGUUUAAUAGUCGUGUUAUACACAUACAUACGUAUUUUUCCACAAUACUUCCAUUUUUCGUACACAAGGAAAACGUACAAUACACGCACGUGCGGAUUUUUCAUGUUUAAUACACGUGUUUUUACAAAAUUGUCAACAAUACACACAAAAUUCACGUAUUAUACACACAAUUUUACAUACUAUUGAAUAAAAAUAAUAUAUAUCGAAAAAUUAUAUAGUGGCCGAACUUUAUGAUCAUUCAUAUGCUUGGUAGUAAGGUAAGUUAGCCCAAGGAAAAAGAAGAAAUCGAUUCAUACCCACUCUUGUAGGGGUUUUUAAAAUCUCUUCUUUUAACAAAUAGUAUAGCCGCACGGCUAUACUAUUAUUGACCCUUUUUUUUCCCGGAACAGUACCCCUGCUAAUUUUCUUUUAAUAAAUCGUAUAGCCGGCCGGCUAUACUGGGUUUUUUGAAAAUUUCUUUGAAGAAUCGUAUAGCCGCACGGCUAUACAAUUGAAUAUAAUAUAUUUCAAGCGUAUAGCCGGUCGGCUAUACUGUAUUUUUUUCUUUUUUGUCCUUUUUUGUUUUUCCGAAACAGUACUCUUGCUGAUUUUCUUUUAAUAAAUAGUACAGCCGCACGGCGAUACUGGGUUUCUCGAAAAUUUCUUUGAAGGAUAGUAUAGCCGCACGGCUAUACGUUUAAAAUACAUAGGGUGCUUGGAAGUUGGGCCGGUCUAGGUAAUUGGAAGUUGGGCCAAGUGGAAACCAAUUGGGCUUCAAAUUCAACUUGGGCAUUGAAUAUAUAAUAUUUAGUUAUCAAAAAUAUGGCCUUGGACUUUGGGGCACUUGGACAUUUAUGAUUUAAAUUAAUUAAU
rnacentral:lncRNA from 1 species